UACGGAGGGGCGAGCGUUAUUCGGAAUUAUUGGGCGUAAAGGGCGCGUAGGCGGCUUGGUAAGUCAAAGGUGAAAUCCCUCGGCUCAACCGAGGAAUUGCCUUUGAAACUGCCUGGCUUGAGGCCGGGAGGGGUAGCGGAAUUCCCAGUGUAGCGGUGAAAUGCGUAGAUACUGGGAGGAACACCGGUGGCGAAGGCGGCUACCUGGACCGGUUCUGACGCUGAUGCGCGAAAGCAUGGGGAGCGAACAGG
rnacentral:rRNA from 1 species